rnacentral:rRNA from 1 species
CAGCCGCCGCGGUAAUACGUAGGUGGCAAGCGUUGUCCGGAAUUAUUGGGCGUAAAGCGCGCGCAGGUGGUUUAAUAAGUCUGAUGUGAAAGCCCACGGCUCAACCGUGGAGGGUCAUUGGAAACUGUUAAACUUGAGUGCAGGAGAGAAAGGUGGAAUUCCUAGUGUAGCGGUGAAAUGCGUAGAGAUUAGGAGGAACACCAGUGGCGAAGGCGGCUUUUUGGCCUGUAGCUGACACUGAGGCGCGAAAGCGUGGGGAGCAAACAGGAUUAGAUACCCGCGUAGUCCCUGUCUCUUAUAA